CAGCCGUAAACAAUGUGCGUUAGGUGUGUCGGUAACCACGUGUUACUGAUGCGCCGAAGAGAAAUCGUGAAACGCACCACCUGGGAAGUACGGUCGCAAGGCUGAAACUUAAAGGAAUUGGCGGGGGAGCACCACAACAGGUGGAGCCUGCGGUUUAAUUGGAUUCAACGCCGGACAUCUCACCGGAUAAGACAGCUGAAUGAUUGCCGGGCUGAAGACCCUGCAUGACUAGCUGAGAGGUGGUGCAUGGCGUAGACGUCU
rnacentral:rRNA from 1 species